rnacentral:rRNA from 1 species
CAAUAGCGUAUACUAAUGUUGUUGCAGUUAAAAAGCUCGUAGUUGAACUUCUGGUAGGAGUGUCCCGGCCUUUUUGUUUUUACAAAUUGUAUGCUGUGUGACAUCUCUGGCCAUCCUUCUUCUUUGUUUAAAGAAGAUCUUUCACUGUAAAAAAAUUAGGGUGUUCAAAGCAAAAGUUUCUUUGGAAUAUAUUAGUAUGGGAUGAUAGGAUAGGCUCUAGAUGCUAUUUUGUUGGUUUGCACAUUUAGAGAAUGAUUAACAGGGACAGUUGGGGGUAUUCGUAUUUACAUGUCAGAGGUGAAAUUCUUGGAUUUUGGAAAGACGAACUACUGCGAAAGCAUUUACCAAGGAUGUUUUCAUUAA